UCCAUGGUUCGCAGUACGAGUCGAGUUGUCCAGACGAUUGGACGCGAAUUCGCCCGGUACUGCCGGCAGUACCGGUACGAUUUGGUACUACUUGCUCUGCCUUUGUUUGAUGUGCUUUCCAGUUACUGUUUUACCGGUUCUGAUGCGUUAGUCAAUUUGUUUGGUACAUACUAUCGCCCGGUUUUAGUACCCACCUGUAGCGAGGUUUUCCCCAGUACUGUUGCUGUGGGACUAAUUUUAUUUUUGGUUUCGCCACCACUGAUAAACACUUGAAACUACCGUUGAGGCGCAACAAGAUUAAUUUGAGGUAGGUAGUUGAAAUAUUUCGAGCUCAAGCCUAAAGACUGUCGUCUAGAGAGAAUCACUUCAAUGACAAGCAAAUGUCAAAUGCAGUUAAUUAACAGACAUAGACAACAUCCAACUAUCUACCGAAACUCAAGCUGCAUUUAAAUCAGCUGAAACAAAUACCAAACGAGAAUAUGAACUCUGAAUUAAAAGUCAAAAGGCCAUGCCAACUUAAGUCAGUUGUCCAUCAUUGUUACAACAUCGCAAGAAGAGCUUCAAGGAAGACAGAUAGAAGAAUCGUGCUCGAGAUCUAAUCUACCUAGAUCGGAAGAAGUCAGCUGGUCAGUUUGAAGUGAUCUUGUGAAAAUAGUUUAAUAAAAAAUACUUAUAAUAA